rnacentral:rRNA from 1 species
GACGAACGCUGGCGGCGCGCUUAACACAUGCAAGUCGAACGGAAAGGCCUGCUUUCCCUUGUGGAUUGCGGGUACUCGAGUGGCGAACGGGUGAGUAACACGUGAGUGAUCUGCCCCCAACUUGGGUAUAAGCCUGGGAAACUGGGUCUAAUUCCCGAUAGGACUGCAGGGUGGUGCCUGUGGUGGAAAACGAUUUUCUAGUGGUUGGGGAUGAGCUCGCGGCCUAUCAGCUUGUUGGUGGGGUAAUGGCCUACCAAGGCGGCGACGGGUAGCCGGCCUGAGAGGGUGGACGGCCACAUUGGGACUGAGAUACGGCCCAGACUCCUACGGGAGGCAGCAGUGGGGAAUAUUGCACAAUGGGCGGAAGCCUGAUGCAGCGACGCCGCGUGGGGGAUGACGGCCUUCGGGUUGUAAACUCCUUUCGACCGCGAGGAAGCCACCUGGUUGGAAGGGUGGUGACGGUAGUCGUAGAAGAAGCACCGGCUAACUACGUG